rnacentral:rRNA from 1 species
AGCGUACACGGUGGAUGCCCUGGCAGUCAGAGGCGAUGAAGGACGUGCUAAUCUGCGAAAAGCGUCGGUAAGGUGAUAUGAACCGUUAUAACCGGCGAUGUCCGAAUGGGGAAACCCAGUGUGAUUCGUCACACUAUCGUUAACUGAAUACAUAGGUUAACGAGGCGAACCGGGGGAACUGAAACAUCUAAGUACCCCGAGGAAAAGAAAUCAACCGAGAUUCCCCCAGUAGCGGCGAGCGAACGGGGAGCAGCCCAGAGUCUGAAUCAGCUUGUGUGUUAGUGGAACGGUCUGGAAAGUCCGACGGUACAGGGUGAUAGUCCCGUACACCAAAAUGCACAGGCUGUGAACUCGAAGAGUAGGGCGGGACACGUGGUAUCCUGUCUGAAUAUGGGGGGACCAUCCUCCAAGGCUAAAUACUCCUGACUGACCGAUAGUGAACCAGUACCGUGAGGGAAAGGCGAAAAGAACCCCGGCGAGGGGAGUGAAAAAGAACCUGAAACCGUGUACGUACAAGCAGUGGGAGCACCUUCGGGUGUGACUGCGUACCUUUUGUAUAAUGGGUCAGCGACUUAUAUUCUGUAGCAAGGUUAACCGUAUAGGGGAGCCGCAGGGAAACCGAGUCUUAACUGGGCGUUAAGUUGCAGGGUAUAGACCCGAAACCCGGUGAUCUAGCCAUGGGCAGGUUGAAGGUUGGGUAACACUAACUGGAGGACCGAACCGACUAAUGUUGAAAAAUUAGCGGAUGACUUGUGGCUGGGGGUGAAAGGCCAAUCAAACCGGGAGAUAGCUGGUUCUCCCCGAAAGCUAUUUAGGUAGCGCCUCGUGAAUUCAUCUUCGGGGGUAGAGCACUGUUUCGGCUAGGGGGUCAUCCCGACUUACCAACCCGAUGCAAACUACGAAUACCGAAGAAUGUUAUCACGGGAGACACACGGCGGGUGCUAACGUCCGUCGUGAAGAGGGAAACAACCCAGACCGCCAGCUAAGGUCCCAAAGUCAUGGUUAAGUGGGAAACGAUGUGGGAAGGCACAGACAGCCAGGAUGUUGGCUUAGAAGCAGCCAUCAUUUAAAGAAAGCGUAAUAGCUCACUGGUCGAGUCGGCCUGCGCGGAAGAUGUAACGGGGCUAAACCAUGCACCGAAGCUGCGGCAGCGACACUAUGUGUUGUUGGGUAGGGGAGCGUUCUGUAAGCCUGCGAAGGUGACCUGUGAGGGUUGCUGGAGGUAUCAGAAGUGCGAAUGCUGACAUAAGUAACGAUAAAGCGGGUGAAAAGCCCGCUCGCCGGAAGACCAAGGGUUCCUGUCCAACGUUAAUCGGGGCAGGGUGAGUCGACCCCUAAGGCGAGGCCGAAAGGCGUAGUCGAUGGGAAACAGGUUAAUAUUCCUGUACUUGGUGUUACUGCGAAGGGGGGACGGAGAAGGCUAUGUUAGCCGGGCGACGGUUGUCCCGGUUUAAGCAUGUAGGCUGGUUGUCCAGGCAAAUCCGGAUAAUCAAGGCUGAGGUGUGAUGACGAGGCACUACGGUGCUGAAGUAACAAAUGCCCUGCUUCCAGGAAAAGCCUCUAAGCAUCAGGUAACAUCAAAUCGUACCCCAAACCGACACAGGUGGUCAGGUAGAGAAUACCAAGGCGCUUGAGAGAACUCGGGUGAAGGAACUAGGCAAAAUGGUGCCGUAACUUCGGGAGAAGGCACGCUGGUGUGUAGGUGAAGUCCCUGCGGAUGGAGCUGAGACCAGUCGAAGAUACCAGCUGGCUGCAACUGUUUAUUAAAAACACAGCACUGUGCAAACACGAAAGUGGACGUAUACGGUGUGACGCCUGCCCGGUGCCGGAAGGUUAAUUGAUGGGGUUAUCCGUAAGGAGAAGCUCUUGAUCGAAGCCCCGGUAAACGGCGGCCGUAACUAUAACGGUCCUAAGGUAGCGAAAUUCCUUGUCGGGUAAGUUCCGACCUGCACGAAUGGCGUAAUGAUGGCCAGGCUGUCUCCACCCGAGACUCAGUGAAAUUGAACUCGCUGUGAAGAUGCAGUGUACCCGCGGCAAGACGGAAAGACCCCGUGAACCUUUACUAUAGCUUGACACUGAACAUUGAGCCUUGAUGUGUAGGAUAGGUGGGAGGCUUUGAAGCGUGGACGCCAGUCUGCGUGGAGCCAACCUUGAAAUACCACCCUUUAAUGUUUGAUGUUCUAACGUUGGCCCCUUAUCGGGGUUGCGGACAGUGUCUGGUGGGUAGUUUGACUGGGGCGGUCUCCUCCCAAAGCGUAACGGAGGAGCACGAAGGUUAGCUAAUCCUGGUCGGACAUCAGGAGGUUAGUGCAAUGGCAUAAGCUAGCUUGACUGCGAGCGUGACGGCGCGAGCAGGUGCGAAAGCAGGUCAUAGUGAUCCGGUGGUUCUGAAUGGAAGGGCCAUCGCUCAACGGAUAAAAGGUACUCCGGGGAUAACAGGCUGAUACCGCCCAAGAGUUCAUAUCGACGGCGGUGUUUGGCACCUCGAUGUCGGCUCAUCACAUCCUGGGGCUGAAGUAGGUCCCAAGGGUAUGGCUGUUCGCCAUUUAAAGUGGUACGCGAGCUGGGUUUAGAACGUCGUGAGACAGUUCGGUCCCUAUCUGCCGUGGGCGCUGGAGAAUUGAGGGGGGCUGCUCCUAGUACGAGAGGACCGGAGUGGACGCAUCACUGGUGUUCGGGUUGUCAUGCCAAUGGCACUGCCCGGUAGCUAAAUGCGGAAGAGAUAAGUGCUGAAAGCAUCUAAGCACGAAACUUGCCCCGAGAUGAGUUCU